rnacentral:sRNA from 1 species
AAAAAAAUCCAGACCUAAUUAUUAGUUAUCCCACAAGUCACAUGUACAAAUAACGAGUAACAGAGCAAGUAAAAGGACAAGCAUCAAAAUGAUGCAAGUAACGAGGCAAGUAACGGGAUAAGUAUCAAAACGAGGUAAGUAACGAGUCAAGUAUCAAAAAAAAUUAUGAUACUUGAUACUUGGCUUGCUCUUGCAAGUAAUAAAAUAAACCGACUUGUUACUUGACUUGCCUAUGACAAGUACUUGAAUUUUCAAGACGAGUACGAACCGAGUAGCGAGUAAUUGCCGAGUAGCGAGUACUUGUGCCCAGGGCUAAGAUUGUUUGUAAUAAUGAGGAUUACUAAAUAUGGUCCUUCGAGAUGGGACAAAAUAUUUGCA